rnacentral:lncRNA from 1 species
AUAUAUUUUACAUAAUCGAAUGCACUUAAACCAUGUCCUAAUGUGCUUAAAUCAUAUAACCUAGUCGAAUGCACAUAAAUCAUAGUACCAAGUCAAAUGCACCUAAACCAUGGUACUUAUAUGAAUGCACCUAAACCAUGGUACCUAUAUGAAUGCACCUAAAUCAUGGUACCUAUAUGAAUGCACCUGAAUGCACCUAAAUCAUGGUACCUAUAUGAAUGCACCUAAAUCAUAGUACCUAUAUGAAUGUA